rnacentral:rRNA from 1 species
UACGUAGGGUGCAAGCGUUAAUCGGAAUUACUGGGCGUAAAGCGUGCGCAGGCGGUUUUGUAAGUCUGACGUGAAAUCCCCGGGCUUAACCUGGGAAUUGCGUUGGAGACUGCAAGGCUGGAGUCUGGCAGAGGGGGGGUAGAAUUCCACGUGUAGCAGUGAAAUUCGUAGAUAUUGGGAAGAACACCGGUGGCGAAGGCGGCUCUCUGGACCGUAACUGACGCUGAGGCGCGAAAAGCGUGGGGAGCAAACAGG